GUGCCAGCCGCCGCGGUAAUACGGAGGAUCCAAGCGUUAUCCGGAAUCAUUGGGUUUAAAGGGUCCGUAGGCGGGAUGAUAAGUCAGUGGUGAAAGUCUGCAGCUCAACUGUAGAAUUGCCAUUGAUACUGUUGUUCUUGAGUUAUUGUGAAGUGGUUAGAAUGAGUAGUGUAGCGGUGAAAUGCAUAGAUAUUACUCAGAAUACCGAUUGCGAAGGCAGAUCACUAACAAUGAACUGACGCUGAUGGACGAAAGCGUAGGUAGCGAACAGGAUUAGAUACCCGGGUAGUCC
rnacentral:rRNA from 1 species